GAAUCCAGGUUAGUUAAAACAAUGAAGUCCAACUCUCUUCUUUCUCGGGCUCCUUCAUUGUUCAAUUUGCUGCCCUCAAAUAAUCGUAGGGCUUAUGUAGGUGCUGAUCCAGUAGCAGGAUUUAAGUCAGACUUGGACAAGUUUUUGACUAAAAUUCCGGAUCAACACCUUAUAAUCUAGCUUCAAGGAUUAGCCAGAUCAGCCAACUCCAAUUCGUUGGUUGAUCAAGUAAUAUAUAUAAAAUAAAAGUCAAGUAAAAUAAAUAAUCUGCUCGUCUUGAACUGCUGGGAUUUCAAUCCCGUUAGUGGUAAAGAAGUCCGCACCAAAAAAAAACAAUAUCCUCCGAGGGUUUGGAAGAAGCAGAACGAAUUUCAACCUUGGUGACAUACGGAACAUCUUCAGGAAGAUAUGGGAAUGUUGGAGGUAACAUCCCAAGAUCGGUCAUUGAAUGCCAUGAAAGAAGGAUCUGGUCAUGGAUAUGUGGCGUGCCAUAUGCCCAGAUCGUCGUGGAAUAUUUCCUCAGAUGAGUAAUCUCCAGGUGUACUGCCCCAUGGCACUCCAUUUUUGUAUUAUUGGCAGCGUGAAUUGAACGUUUUUGAGACUUGUCCACUUCUAUCCCAUAGGUUUGAACCAGAUUUGCAGAGAUCAAAGUCUCCGUUGCUCAAGUAUCCGGGAGUAUAACCAUCUGGAAUGGGGUCCCAGUUCGUGGGCGAAUGUCCACAGAUACAGUAGGAGUGGGACGUGCCUUGACCAUCUUGACAUGAAUUGAUUAAGAAUUAAUGAUCCUGGAAUUACCAGGGGUUUGACCACGGGAUUUCGAGCGACCACGCCAUAUGUUUCUGCUCCUGCAGACGGCAGCGAAAUGCCCUGUCUUCUCGCACGUAUGGCAGGCUGUGUCCUUGGCUGGAAAAUGUUCGCGGGUAGGACCACCAGGAUGUGUAGAUUUAUUGCAACCCAAGCAUUCAUACAAGGAAGAAGUGGCUGCAAUGGUGGCAGACAAAUGACUUGAAGAAAUCGUGGACUCGACAGCAUUGGCGGAUUCCCAAGCCAUAGGUAUACGAUGGUGGGUCUCACGAGAAGGAUCUGGCUGACAAAGAAAUUGAUCACAACGGAAAAAGUUGGAUCGACCAGUGAGCAGAGGGAUGUGUUCAAUGAAAAUCUCAUGGAGUUUGGCAAAGCAUCCGUCCUGGCCAAGGACUGGAGUGUCGUCUUGAGAUUUAGUCAUGAGGAUUUGCUGGAGCUUUAAAUCCAGGCAUGAUUGGAGGUAUCCAUGCUGUUCGGCAAUGGGAAAACCCUCAAUGUGGUUCGAUGAAUAGAACAAGGGCAACAUUGAUUCUAGAGGACCUGAGAAUUCAAAUCAGAGGGUGCUGAGACGUGUUGUGUGGUCGAAAUGCGGACUUGAGUGUAGAUACGUGUGGAAGAGAGCAGAAUCUUCUCGCGGAGCUUGCACACGUUGUUGGAGAACUGAGUGAGCAAGGAAUUCUCCUUGACGAUGGCAUCAUCGUCCAAGGAUGCAGAACAUGUGUCGAACGACGAGUCCAAAUCGGUCAGGGCGGUCUCCACCUUGAGGAAUAAUGCAUUGAUUUGGUCAACUAUGGACAAAUCCAGUCCAGAGUCGUCCAAAGCAUUCACGUCGGAAAUAAAUGUUUUGCAAGCGUUGAGGCGACGGGUAAAGACGCCCUUCUUGGCCGUCAACGAUUUCUUGGCAGCUUCCAU